CCUACGGGCGGCAGCAGUGAGGAAUAUUGGUCAAUGGGCGGGAGCCUGAACCAGCCAAGCCGCGUGAGGGAAGAAGGUACAGCGUAUCGUAAACCUCUUUUGUCAGGGAACAAAGGCGGGGACUAGUCCCCGGAUGAGGGUACCUGAAGAAAAAGCAUCGGCUAACUCCGUGCCAGCAGCCGCGGUAAUACGGAGGAUGCGAGCGUUAUCCGGAUUUAUUGGGUUUAGAGGGUGCGCAGGCGGCCUGUUAAGUCAGCGGGAAAAGCCCGGGGCUCAACCCCGGCGAGCCGUUGAAAAGGGCGGGCUGGAGUUGGAGUGAAGUACGCGGAAUGCGCGGUGUAGCGGUGAAAUGCUUAGAUAUCGCGCAGAACCCCGAUUGCGAAGGCAGCGUACCGGCUCCACACUGACGCUGAGGCACGAAAGCGUGGGUAUCGAACAGGAUUAGAUACCCCAGUAGUC
rnacentral:rRNA from 1 species